rnacentral:rRNA from 1 species
UACGUAGGGACCAAGCGUUGUCCGGAAUCAUUGGGCGUAAAGAGCGUGUAGGCGGCCUGUUAAGUCUUGCGUGAAAUCUCGGGGCUCAACCCCGAGCGGUCGUGAGAAACUGGCAGGCUAGAGUGCGGGAGAGGAGAGUGGAAUUCCUGGUGUAGCGGUGAAAUGCGCAGAUAUCAGGAAGAACACCCGUGGCGAAGGCGGCUCUCUGGAACGCAACUGACGCUGAGACGCGAAAGCGUGGGGAGCGAACAGG